rnacentral:rRNA from 1 species
AGCGAACGUUAGCGGCGCGCCUAACACAUGCAAGUCGCACGAGAAAGGGAGCAAUCCCCGGUACAGUGGCGCACGGGUGAGUAACACGUAGAUGACCUUCCCUGGAGUGGUGGAUAACCUGCCGAAAGGCGGGCUAAUACAGCAUGGGACCACAUGGUUUUGACCGAGUGGUGAAAGCGGGCCUCUGUUCACAAGCUCGCGCUCUGGGAUGGGUCUGCGUCCCAUCAGCUAGUUGGUGAGGUAAUGGCUCACCAAGGCAUCGACGGGUAGCUGGUCUGAGAGGAUGACCAGCCACACUGGAACUGAGACACGGUCCAGACUCCUACGGGAGGCAGCAGUGGGGAAUCUUGCGCAAUGGGCGAAAGCCUGACGCAGCGACGCCGCGUGAGCGAUGAAGGCCU